rnacentral:ncRNA from 1 species
UUGAUGUUGCCGCCGGGUAACAAGCAUCAAAUGCACCAGCCCCAUGUCGUUAGGCCUUAGAAGACAUGGCAGGCCGGUGCAUUUUUUU